AUCGUAACUCCUACGGGAGGCAGCAGUGGGGAAUUUUGGACAAUGGGGGGAACCCUGAUCCAGCCAUGCCGCGUGUGUGAAGAAGGCCUUUUGGUUGUAAAGCACUUUAAGCGAGGAGGAGGCUACUCUAGUUAAUACCUAGGGAUAGUGGACGUUACUCGCAGAAUAAGCACCGGCUAACUCUGUGCCAGCAGCCGCGGUAAUACAGAGGGUGCGAGCGUUAAUCGGAUUUACUGGGCGUAAAGCGUGCGUAGGUGGCCAAUUAAGUCAAAUGUGAAAUCCCCGAGCUUAACUUGGGAAUUGCAUUCGAUACUGGUUGGCUAGAGUAUGGGAGAGGAUGGUAGAAUUCCAGGUGUAGCGGUGAAAUGCGUAGAGAUCUGGAGGAAUACCGAUGGCGAAGGCAGCCAUCUGGCCUAAUACUGACACUGAGGUACGAAAGCAUGGGGAGCAAACAGGAUUAGAAACCCUUGUAGUCCUAGAGC
rnacentral:rRNA from 1 species